CGACACGAAGUCUCCUUUGCUCCUCUCUCUCUCUUUUUUUUUUCUUUUCUUUUUUUUCACUCUCUCACUACCUUAACAUAAUCCUCUGCCAACCCCACAAUCUCGACAUUUCUCUCUGCCCCUCUCUCUCUCCCUCUCCCUACUGCACCCAAAUUGGUUUCAUUACCCACCCAGAAAUCCCACAAUGUUUUGAUUGAAAACCCAUUUCAAGAAAUCAACAUUUGGAUCGAAAUUAGGAAACUUAAUUUUCUCUAGAAAGCCUGGAAUUCAUACUAAAGUUGGUGGUGGAGGUUUAGUUGUAGACUGAGCAUAUGCCUGGGAACAAGUACAACGGCAACCCAGCCAUCCCCACAAGUAGAUUAGAAAGGCUCUUGAGAGAUAGAGAGAUAAGAAAGAGCAACAAGGCUUCUCAUUCAAAUGAGGCUACUGAAAAUAACAAAGGGAUUGAACUGCGCUCGAGAGAAGGCGAUAACUUUGGGGCUUCUUCCUAUGUGGA